UGGGGAAUAUUGGACAAUGGGGGCAACCCUGAUCCAGCCAUGCCGCGUGUGUGAAGAGGGCCUUUUGGUUGUAAAGCACUUUAAGCAGUGAAGAAGACUCCAUGGUUAAUACCCAUGGACGAUGACAUUAGCUGCAGAAUAAGCACCGGCUAACUCUGUGCCAGCAGCCGCGGUAAUACAGAGGGUGCAAGCGUUAAUCGGAAUUACUGGGCGUAAAGCGAGCGUAGGUGGCUUGAUAAGUCAGAUGUGAAAGCCCCGGGCUUAACCUGGGAACGGCAUCUGAUACUGUUAGGCUAGAGUAGGUGAGAGGAAGGUAGAAUUCCAGGUGUAGCGGUGAAAUGCGUAGAGAUCUGGAGGAAUACCGAUGGCGAAGGCAGCCUUCUGGCAUCAUACUGACACUGAGGUUCGAAAGCGUGGGUAGCAAACA
rnacentral:rRNA from 1 species